AAUGGGUUGGGAUUAGAUUGGAAUAACUAAUAAAAAUACAAAAUUACCCUAAUAUCCUUUCUUCACUCUCUUCUUCUUUCUCUUUCAUUAAAGGUAGAAAUGUCUUUUACCCGUUAAAUUUAAUCCUCAUCCCUUAUACCACCCCCCUUAGUUAUUAAUUUGGAGGGAUAACUCCCUUUUUUUUUAUCCCCCUUCUAUCUAUCCCCCCUCCUAAUCCUCAUCCUUCUAAACAAACAAAAGACUUGUUAAAUCCCUCCUUUUUUAUCCCAUCCCCCCUCUUCUAUCCCUCUAAACAAACACCCUCUAUUAUAAUAUUUCUAGUUAUCUAUCGAACGAACAGAUUAUAAAGGCGAUAGCAAUGGAGCAAACCUCUAAAGGGUUUGUUAACUUGCCACAUCAUUAUCAUACAAACUCCUCACCUAACAAACCUAUUACUCUAUCAACAAUAGAUAAACAUGUUCUAUGCAUGAGACCCACUGUCCAUAUAAUUCAUUAAAUUCAUCAAAACAAAAAAUAAAGAAAAUUCAACAAGUAGGUCCAGCUAAUACACUUGGCAACUUGUAAAUCAUUUGCAAGCAAUUGCAAACCGGUUUGUAAAAACAAACUUCUUCCCAUGAACCUUUGUUUAUCAAUAAAAGAUUUGUUGACAAACCUCUAAAAAGUUGUCACAAACCCAUCAAAUUCACUACUACAAAGUUGGCCUAAUGUAACACCUUGUGGUAACACUUUAUAAGUCAAGAUAUAAAUAGAUAUUUAGGUAGCACUUUUGUAACACUUAGAUAAUAGGUAGCACUUGUAUGUAACACUUCAAAGUAACACUUUACAUAGAGUAACACUUUCAUGUAUUUGUCAAAAAAAUAAAAAAGAAGAAAAAAAAAAACGACCCUUGAAUUGCCUAACUCUCUCUCUCUCUCCGAUCCUCUCUUUCACUUUUCCCUCUUUUCUCCAUCCAUCUCUGCAAUUCACACUUUCCAUCUUCUUCAUCAAUGGAGAGGCUCAAAAUCUCUCUGAAAUUUUACCCCAAUUUUUAGAUCCUUACUCCUCACCAAACUCUAGCUUCUUAACAAGAACUCAACAACCAAACCCAAACCCUAGCUUCGACUCAAUCGAACUAUCAAACCGCAAGAAAACAACCAAAAAUACGGCUGACGAGAUCAAUUCGGCGGCAAAGAAGAGACGACGAGCCAUUGAAAACGCUGUCUUCGUAUGAUGCAACUACUGCUGCUGCCGGAAAUCCCUCCUUCUCUCCUCAAUUUCACUCAACAUAUCCUAAUUUUCAUUCUCACUCUUCAAUUUCCACAAUAUUAGCAAAAAUCCAUCGAAUUUUAUCGCACACAACAACCCUAUAUCCAACCUACUAACAAAACUUGGGAAGCUAUAAAGGUGAAAAAUUUUCAUUCUUAAUUGUUGUUGUCAUUCUGAACUUUAACUGAGAUUAUAGUGAACUUACAAACUCUUAUACUAUGGGUAAUUGUAGAUUUUCAUAACUGAGAUUGUUGUGAAUAAUUAAUGAACUUUUUGUUUAAGUGUGCUUAGCAUUUCCAUUUUAUUUGACGAACUUUGUACUGAGGAUGUGACUCCCAUCCCAACAGUCAGUACUCGCAAAAAGGGAGGCAGCAGAGGAAGGAGCUGAGGAGACUGUGAAUGAUCAUGGCCUAGUUCAGCACUGUUGCUACUUAUGUUGUGCUUUACUGCUACCUAGCCUUAAGCAUUGUAAUUUAUUUAUUUUUUAUAUUUUUUUGAUGAAAUUGUAACACUACAAGCAUUUAUUAAUAAAAAUAUCUAAAUUUGUUUGUCGAUUUUUUUCAGGCAUAAAGGGCAUCGGAUUAAGGGGAAAACUGGUGCCCUUAAAGACCUUUGAACCGGUGUCCAUAACCUCUGCCAUGGGCAACCCCCAAAAAGGCACGGGUUCAAAACUGGUGCCCUAAGCUGGUUUUGAUAAUAAUAAUAUGUGGCACAAAAAAAAUAUAAUAAAAAAAUAUUACCUAUUAAUUAAUAAGGUGUUACAUUAAUUUGUAAAAAGUGAUACAUAAUGUC